GACGAACGCUGGCGGCGCGCUUAACACAUGCAAGUCGAACGGAAAGGCCUGCUUUCCCUUGUGGAUUGCGGGUACUCGAGUGGCGAACGGGUGAGUAACACGUGAGUGAUCUGCCCCCAACUUGGGUAUAAGUCUGGGAAACUGGGUCUAAUUCCCGAUAGGACUGCAGGGUGGUGCCUGUGGUGGAAAACGAUUUUCUAGUGGUUGGGGAUGAGCUCGCGGCCUAUCAGCUUGUUGGUGGGGUAAUGGCCUACCAAGGCGGCGACGGGUAGCCGGCCUGAGAGGGUGGACGGCCACAUUGGGACUGAGAUACGGCCCAGACUCCUACGGGAGGCAGCAGUGGGGAAUAUUGCACAAUGGGCGGAAGCCUGAUGCAGCGACGCCGCGUGGGGGAUGACGGCCUUCGGGUUGUAAACUCCUUUCGACCGCGAGGAAGCCACCUGGUUGGAAGGGUGGUGACGGUAGUGGUAGAAGAAGCACCGGCUAACUACGUG
rnacentral:rRNA from 1 species